GGCUUGUCUGAAUGCAAUGGUAUUUACAACCAAUUGAUCACAACCAGUUGCAGAUUCCUUUGUUCCUUCUUCACUCCCACGAAUUCACUUAACCAGCCUAAA
rnacentral:Y_RNA from 1 species